rnacentral:rRNA from 1 species
GAGGGGGAAAAAUUAAUAAAAAAAAAAUAAUAAAAAAAUUUUUAAAAAUAUAUUUAAUGGGGGUUAAAGUAUAUAUAUAGAAAAAAUUUUUAAAUUUAUAGUAAAUUAGUAUUGUAAAAGAAUUUUGAAAUACGGGGGUAAUUCAAUAAAAAGUAAAUUUAGUUUGUUGUAUCUUGUGUAUCAGAGUUUAUUAAUAAUUUUUUUUUGGGUAAAAAUUUCUCGAAUUUAAAAGAGUUAAUUAAUUAUAAAAGUUAAUGUGGUAUAAUUAUUUAAAAUAAUUAAUUGGAAAUGAAAUGUUAAUCGUUUUUAAAGAUAUCUAGUUUUUUUAGAAAAAAAUUUAAUUUUAAAUAUUAUAAUUUAAAWUUUUUAUUUUAUAAAAUUUUAUUUAUUAAUAUUAAAUAUUUUAAGGGAUAAGCUUUAAAAUAAAUUUUUAUAAUUAAUUUUAAAUUUAAAAUUAAAAUUUUAAAAUUUAAAUUGUUAAAUAAAUUAUAGUUUUUUAUAAAUAAUUUAAUUUUUAUUAAAAUUUAAAAUAAAAUUUAAUUUUUUAUAAAAAAAUAUAUUUUAAUAUGAUAAAAUUAGAUAUAAUGAUAAAAUUAGUAUAUAAAUUUUAAUAGAAAAAUUAAUUUAUGAUAAGUUAUUUAAAGGAAUUCGGCAAAAUAUUAUAUUCAYUUGUUUAUCAAAAACAUGUCUUUUUGUUAAUAAUUUAAAGUCUAAUCUGCCCACUGAUAAAGUAUUAAAGGGCUGCAGUAUUUUGACUGUACAAAGGUAGCAUAAUCAUUAGUCUCUUAAUUGGUGACUUGUAUGAAAGAUUGGAUGAAAUAUAUACUGUCUCUAUUUAAUUAAUAAAAUUUAAUUUUUUAGUAAAAAAGCUAAAAUAAUUUUAAAAGACGAGAAGACCCUAUAGAGUUUUAUAAUUUAUUUAAUUAUUAUUAAUAUAUUAAUUAUUUAAAUUAAAAUUAAUUAAAUUAUUUUAUUGGGGUGAUAAAAAAAUUAAAUUAACUUUUUUUAAUAUUUUACAUUGAUUUAUGAAUAUUUGAUCCAUUUAUAGUGAUUAAAAGAAAAAAUUACCUUAGGGAUAACAGCGUAAUUUUUUUUUUUAGUUCAAAUAGGAAAAAAAGUUUGCGACCUCGAUGUUGGAUUAAGAUAAAAUUUAAAUGCAAAAGUUUAAAAUUUUGAUCUGUUCGAUCAUUAAAAUCUUACAUGAUCUGAGUUCAAACCGGUGUGAGCCAGGUUGGUUUCUAUCUUUAAAUAUAAUUUAAUAUUUUAGUACGAAAGGAUCAAAUAUUAGAAAUAAUUUUAAAAAUAUACGAAUAUUAUUAAUAAUUUAAUA